AGAGUUUGAUCCUGGCUCAGGAUGAACGCUGGCGGCGUGCCUAAUACAUGCAAGUCGAGCGAACGGACGAGAAGUUUGCUUCUCUGAUGUUAGCGGCGGACGGGUGAGUAACACGUGGAUAACCUACCUAUAAGACUGGGAUAACUUCGGGAAACCGGAGCUAAUACCGGAUAAUAUUUUGAACCGCAUGGUUCAAAAGUGAAAGACGGUCUUGCUGUCACUUAUAGAUGGAUCCGCGCUGCAUUAGCUAGUUGGUAAGGUAACGGCUUACCAAGGCAACGAUGCAUAGCCGACCUGAGAGGGUGAUCGGCCACACUGGAACUGAGACACGGUCCAGACUCCUACGGGAGGCAGCAGUAGGGAAUCUUCCGCAAUGGGCGAAAGCCUGACGGAGCAACGCCGCGUGAGUGAUGAAGGUCUUCGGAUCGUAAAACUCUGUUAUUAGGGAAGAACAUAUGUGUAAGUAACUGUGCACAUCUUGACGGUACCUAAUCAGAAAGCCACGGCUAACUACGUGCCAGCAGCCGCGGUAAUACGUAGGUGGCAAGCGUUAUCCGGAAUUAUUGGGCGUAAAGCGCGCGUAGGCGGUUUUUUAAGUCUGAUGUGAAAGCCCACGGCUCAACCGUGGAGGGUCAUUGGAAACUGGAAAACUUGAGUGCAGAAGAGGAAAGUGGAAUUCCAUGUGUAGCGGUGAAAUGCGCAGAGAUAUGGAGGAACACCAGUGGCGAAGGCGACUUUCUGGUCUGUAACUGACGCUGAUGUGCGAAAGCGUGGGGAUCAAACAGGAUUAGAUACCCUGGUAGUCCACGCCGUAAACGAUGAGUGCUAAGUGUUAGGGGGUUUCCGCCCCUUAGUGCUGCAGCUAACGCAUUAAGCACUCCGCCUGGGGAGUACGACCGCAAGGUUGAAACUCAAAGGAAUUGACGGGGACCCGCACAAGCGGUGGAGCAUGUGGUUUAAUUCGAAGCAACGCGAAGAACCUUACCAAAUCUUGACAUCCUUUGACAACUCUAGAGAUAGAGCCUUCCCCUUCGGGGGACAAAGUGACAGGUGGUGCAUGGUUGUCGUCAGCUCGUGUCGUGAGAUGUUGGGUUAAGUCCCGCAACGAGCGCAACCCUUAAGCUUAGUUGCCAUCAUUAAGUUGGGCACUCUAAGUUGACUGCCGGUGACAAACCGGAGGAAGGUGGGGAUGACGUCAAAUCAUCAUGCCCCUUAUGAUUUGGGCUACACACGUGCUACAAUGGACAAUACAAAGGGCAGCGAAACCGCGAGGUCAAGCAAAUCCCAUAAAGUUGUUCUCAGUUCGGAUUGUAGUCUGCAACUCGACUACAUGAAGCUGGAAUCGCUAGUAAUCGUAGAUCAGCAUGCUACGGUGAAUACGUUCCCGGGUCUUGUACACACCGCCCGUCACACCACGAGAGUUUGUAACACCCGAAGCCGGUGGAGUAACCUUUUAGGAGCUAGCCGUCGAAGGUGGGACAAAUGAUUGGGGUGAAGUCGUAACAAGGUAGCCGUAUCGGAAGGUGCGGCUGGAUCACCU
rnacentral:rRNA from 6 species